CUGAACUCCUUAACGAUAGCACUGGCUUUCGGUUAAGUACUCACACGAAUUGUUUGAAUUGGAUUUUGUUUCUCGCAAGAGAAGGCAGGGUUCAGUUUUGUUCUUUAAAAAUAUGGAUAAUAUCUCGAAAACAUAAAUAAAUUGUGAUGAUUUAUUUGUGCGUUCAAACCAAGUAAAAAUCAAGCGAUCCGGUGUGCAUUAAGCACAUUAUCGUACCAGUCGUUUAUAUGAUCUUAAUUUUUCUCGCUUAUGCGGAAAAGGUUUUGGGUUAUAUAGUCAAGCGACUAAGCGUACACGGUGGAUGCCUUGGC
rnacentral:misc_RNA from 1 species